UCUUAUUUUACUAUUAUCACUUGUAAGUAUGCAUUUAUCAUGUAGUUUUGGAUAAUAUGCAUUUAGAGUCCUAGGAUUGCUUUUGCAUUGCAUUUGAUGUUGAUUUAGGUACAAAAUGGGCAAUAUGGAGCUAAAGAGACAAAAGAAAGCUUUGGAUCACAAAAGAUGUGGCUUGAAUCGGAUUGGAUUUCAAGAUUUGCUAGAAAAUUCAUGAGAAGUGCCGAGAAAAGCUCAACCAUUUGAGAAACCACUUGGAUUAUAUUGAAGAGGAUCAAAAAUAAGGAAUUUGGGUCGAAACGGAAGUGGAUUUGGUGUUACGGUUAGGAAGUUAUGAAGAUUUGAAGAUGAGUAAUGUAGCAAAACCGACCCAGACCCGACCCAGUCCGAACCGGGUCGACCCAACUCGGACCAAAACCUCUUUUAAAGCAUUUUUAGCCUAUUUUUACUUUAAGUUUGGUU
rnacentral:lncRNA from 1 species